GUGUCAGCCGCCGCGGUAAGACAGAGGAGGCGAGCGUUGCUCGGAAUUACUGGGCUUAAAGCGGGUGUAGGCGGCCGCGCAAGUGUCGUGUGAAAGCCCACGGCUCAACCGUGGAACAGCACGGCAAACUGCGUGGCUUGAGGUCGGCAGAGGUGGCUGGAAUUCUCGGUGGAGCGGUGAAAUGCGUAGAUAUCGGGAGGAACACCAGUGGCGAAGGCGGCCGACUGGAACUGACCUGACGCUGAGGGACGAAAGCCAGGGGAGCGAACCGGAUUAGAUACCCGGGUAGUCCUGGCCGUAAACGAUGGAUGCUAGAUGUGGGCGGGGAGACCCGUCCGUGUCGCAAGCUAACGCGUUAAGCAUCCCGCCUGGGGAGUACGGCCGCAAGGUUGAAACUUAAAUGAAUUGACGGGG
rnacentral:rRNA from 1 species